GUUGAUUUGAACAAAUAAACUCAUUCAAAGAAAUGUUUCCUGAAACUGCUUCUUACUAAUCUAGCCAACCAAUGAAGCACCGUAGAUGAAACUACCAAAUAUCACAACAUCUUUGGCUUUCUGGUGCAGAUCCACAUGAAGACUCUCACAUGAUACAACUGAAAUUCUUAAGGCCAGACAGGACUUUGCAUUGGAAGCUUUAAAAUGUGAUGUCUGACUUUGAAGAUGGUGUAUAACACUAAUCAUUUACUGUGCAUUGGUCUGAGUAAUGGAAAAUAAUCACUCUUAAAUCAUCUUCCUUUAAGUGUCAUAUUUAGGGUAACAUAUUGGUUGGUCAACGCCAAAAUACAUGUGACACUUAGAUUUUCAGACCACAUGAAAAUGUCUGAAAAGAAACAUUUAAAAAAUGACUAAGUAUGGGUUAUAUAUUGCAGCACUUUAAAAUUGUUUUCUGCCAUAUGAUUAGAAACAACCUGAAUGUUCAUCAAUAGGGGAUUAAAUAAAUUAUAGUCUAUCAUUCAUACCUGGAAGGUAGUAGUCCCCUGUUAUACAUAGGGGAUAGUUUUCAGCACCCCUAGUAGAUAUCUCAUACUGUGGAUAGUACUUGUCUGAAUCUACAUCCUGUUGCUGUAAUAGAAUACCUGAGAUCAUGUAAUUUAUAAAAAAUAAAAGGUUUCUUUUGUCUCACGAAUUUGGAGAGUGGCAAGUCCACAGCUUCUGUCUUCAUCACUGCUGUGGCAUUUUUCACAUUUUUUUUUGUUUCAAGGACAGAGUAUUUCAAAGGGUAUAUUGAACUUUCC
rnacentral:lncRNA from 1 species